AUUUAGACAUCAACAUACUCAUCUAUGCGGUAGUUAGAAAUAUGAUCAUUAAAUGUGGGUAUGAAUAAAUGCAGUAUUUAGAAAAUUCUUGUAUCAAGAUCUCUAUCAUGGUAAAAUGUCCAUUUUGGGGAUAUGAAUCCAUCUCAUCACAUAAGGCAUGCCACAGUGCCACCACGUUGAGAACAUGGUUCCUUUGCCAAAUCAAACAUCAAAACUUUUAUAUAAUAAAGUACUUAGGAUAGAUCCUGAGCAUUUCCUUAUAUAACUCCAAUACACUGGCCAGUUCAGUUGACACGAGUGAUUUUUCUAACUCGAAAUGAUUUUUUACUCACUGAUUAUAUAAUUUCAUUUGUUGUGAUAAUUGCAGACAUCAAUGCAUAUAUAAAAAUCACUGCCACCAUCUAGAUUUCAUUUGUCUUUUAAUCGAUAAUGAAAAUCAUAAUAGAAAUCCAUAAAACAAAAUCAACAUUUAAGGUGAAAUACAAUUUCAACAAAAAAAAACAUUUAAGGUGAAAUACAUGUCACGAAAAUGAUCCCCAGCUGCCAACUAGUAACAAAUGAACACCGAAAUAAUUAAAACUUCUUGCCACCUCACUGGGUCCCCGAUGCAGAAUAAAGAGAAGCCGGUCAAUAAAGCCUUGAUACACGAGUCGAAUUCUCAACAGUCUCAUAAUUGCCCCCAGAACAAGUGGAAAUGUUCCUAAGGACUCCAAAAAGCCGUCAGCCAAGUUUCGUCGC
rnacentral:lncRNA from 1 species